rnacentral:lncRNA from 1 species
GUUUUGAUCUCCAAUACCCAAACAAACCUCACAAGAUAAAUAAUUAGUUCCACGUAAACAGGUCCUUCAUUACUUCAUUAUGAUGGGAAGUAUUUGAAAUUGUUUCCAUAAAGUCAACUGUUUAAAUAUAUUUUUCUCAUUCAUUCUAGGAACACUCAUUGAGCAACUAGUCUGUCAGACCUAGUCUGUUAUUAGGGGUACAAGAAAUCACAUAAAAAAAAGUCUCUACAUCAAUAGUUUAGUGUGAAUCUCUUCAUUUCUACACAAAGAACACUGGUAUCAGUCUUGUUUUCUCAGAAUUAUCUGCCACGGAGGCAAGAUCUUAUAUGAAUCUCUUCACAUGAAAUAAUUAUGUACGGUUUUCAUGAUUGAGUGAAAUUUAUCUCAGAAAUGCAAAGUAGAUCUUUCAAUCAUCAGCCAACACAAUUACCACCUCACUUAAGAAUCCUGUACUAUAAUUGCCUUAUUUACAUGUCCAAUAAUUUCUUACUAGAAACUGAGCACCAUAGUUACUACAUUGUAGUGUGAUGCUACAUUCCAGUGUUCUGAGGAUUACUGCUCUACUAGACACUUUGUCUGGAUUCAAAUUGCCAAUACUUUGCAGCUAGCUAUUGGUAUCUCCGUUGUUUUCCACGACUGCUUUUAGCCUGGUUCCCAGUGGAUGGAUAUUCCCUAUUCCUCUAAUGACUCAUUAGUCAGUGAUGAGCACCAUCUUGUGGUUUCCUUGACUCUAGGGAUCCUCUUUUCAGAUUCAUCCGCUGGAUUACUGUUAUAUCCUACAUUUUAAGCUUGAAAACUUUCUGCUUUUCUAGCUGAAGGCACUCACAGUGGAAACGUCCUCCUUAGGAAGAAUUCUAUUGUUGUGCGUACAAACGCAGUCUUUAAAGGCAAAACUAUAAUUAUAUACUUUCACAGGUAUGUAGUCUUCCUUUGGCUUUAUGGGUCUCCUUCAUAGUUUUAACUGCUAGACAUGGUUCUGGGCAGUUCUACCUUAUUUCUUUGGAGAUUCUCAUUGCCAGGAUCUUCUACUUACAUUUGCAGUGGCUUUUCAACUCUUAAAUCUCUGGCCCCCUUUGCCAGGAGGCUCUGAUCUUUUUCCAAAAGUAGGGCAGCACCCUGUUAAAACCUCCUUUCAGAAGCAGGGCUUUGUUUGCUUUGAUUAAUUCCCUUUGGGGCUGAGGUUGUGGCUCAGCGGUAGAGCUCUUGCCUAGCACGUAUAAGGCCCUGGGUUUGAUCCUCAGCACAACAUAAAAUUGGAUAAAUUAAAAUAAAGGUAUUCUGUCCACCCACAACUAAAAAAUCCCCUUUGAAUCCUUUUCAGUUAUUUACUAGAAUUAAAAAAACAAAAAACAAAAAAUUAUAGUUUGUUAACUGCAAGGCAAUGUGAUAUGGGCAUAGACACUGCCAGGAUUUCAAUGUCGCUUCAAAAUUCUGCUGUUUAAAUAUAAUGGCUAAUGUGCAAGGUAUGAUGAUGCAUGUUUGUAAACCUAGUUACUCUGAAAAACUGAGGCAGAAGGAUUAAAGAUUUGAGGGGGAAAAAAAAAGCUGGGGAUUGUAGCACAAUGAUAGUGAACAUGGGUUAAAUCACAGGCCAGAAACAGAUAAUAUAAUGGCUAAUAUGAUGGCAUAUGAGUGUUGAAGCCAUGAGGGGCUUUCUCUCCAAGUGGAAUUAGUUCCCCUUAUUUGCUGCCUGCCCCCCUCACCCCCCCUUUUUAUAUAUAUAAAAAAAUAGCCUUUCUGCCUUCCACUAUGUGAAGAUGCAGUAAGGCCUUCUACUAAGCAUCAGAUGCUAGGACCCAGAUCUUGGACUUAUUCUUUAU